rnacentral:rRNA from 1 species
AAGUCGAGCGGACAGAUGGGAGCUUGCUCCCUGAUGUUAGCGGCGGACGGGUGAGUAACACGUGGGUAACCUGCCUGUAAGACUGGGAUAACUCCGGGAAACCGGGGCUAAUACCGGAUGGUUGUCUGAACCGCAUGGUUCAGACAUAAAAGGUGGCUUCGGCUACCACUUACAGAUGGACCCGCGGCGCAUUAGCUAGUUGGUGAGGUAACGGCUCACCAAGGCGACGAUGCGUAGCCGACCUGAGAGGGUGAUCGGCCACACUGGGACUGAGACACGGCCCAGACUCCUACGGGAGGCAGCAGUAGGGAAUCUUCCGCAAUGGACGAAAGUCUGACGGAGCAACGCCGCGUGAGUGAUGAAGGUUUUCGGAUCGUAAAGCUCUGUUGUUAGGGAAGAACAAGUGCCGUUCAAAUAGGGCGGCACCUUGACGGUACCUAACCAGAAAGCCACGGCUAACUACGUGCCAGCAGCCGCGGUAAUACGUAGGUGGCAAGCGUUGUCCGGAAUUAUUGGGCGUAAAGGGCUCGCAGGCGGUUUCUUAAGUCUGAUGUGAAAGCCCCCGGCUCAACCGGGGAGGGUCAUUGGAAACUGGGGAACUUGAGUGCAGAAGAGGAGAGUGGAAUUCCACGUGUAGCGGUGAAAUGCGUAGAGAUGUGGAGGAACACCAGUGGCGAAGGCGACUCUCUGGUCUGUAACUGACGCUGAGGAGCGAAAGCGUGGGGAGCGAACAGGAUUAGAUACCCUGGUAGUCCACGCCGUA